UACAGAGGAGCCAAGCGUUGUCCGGAUUGACUGGGCGUAAAGCGCACGCAGGCGGAUGCGCGCGUGGGGUGUGAAAUCUGGCCGCUUAACGGCCAGGCGCCAUCGCAUACGGCGCGUCUGGAGUGAUGCAGAGGUCGAUGGAAUUGCCGGUGUAGUGGUGAAAUUCGUAGAUAUUCGCAAGAACACCAGUGGCGAAGGCGGCUCACUGGCCCGAUACUGACGCUGAGGCACGAAAGCGUGGGGAGCAAACAGG
rnacentral:rRNA from 1 species